CAGGAUUAGAUACCCUGGUAGUCCACGCCCUAAACGAUGUCAACUAGUUGUUGGGGAUUCAUUUCCUUAGUAACGUAGCUAACGCGUGAAGUUGACCGCCUGGGGAGUACGGUCGCAAGAUUAAAACUCAAAGGAAUUGACGGGGACCCGCACAAGCGGUGGAUGAUGUGGAUUAAUUCGAUGCAACGCGAAAAACCUUACCUACCCCUUGACAUGUAUGGAAUCCUGCUGAGAGGUGGGGGUGCCCGAAAGGGAGCCAUAACACAGGUGCUGCAUGGCUGUCGUCAGCUCGUGUCGUGAGAUGUUGGGUUAAGUCCCGCAACGAGCGCAACCCUUGUCCCUAGUUGCUACGCAAGAGCACUCUAGGGAGACUGCCGGUGACAAACCGGAGGAAGGUGGGGAUGACGUCAAGUCCUCAUGGCCCUUAUGGGUAGGGCUUCACACGUCAUACAAUGGUCGGAACAGAGGGUCGCCAACCCGCGAGGGGGAGCCAAUCCCAGAAAACCGAUCGUAGUCCGGAUCGCACUCUGCAACUCGAGUGCGUGAAG
rnacentral:rRNA from 1 species